ACAAUCAAAGGCCCAAGGUUGGGAUCUCUCUACAAAAUCAAGGCCCAGGGCUAUGGUUUCGAUAGAAAACCAAGGCCCGAGUCUUUGAUUUGCUAGAGAAACUUUUGCUUCUGUCUGUUUCUAGGAAUUCAUUUCUACUUUCGCGCGAUCCGAUCUUCUAGAGGAAGACAGAUGCUAGCUUUCUGAGAAUUACUAGCAUCGUUUGGGUUUAGGGCUUUUGGAGGGCAAAGAAGAACGAAGCGGCUUCGCAGGCCACCGUCAAUGGCGACAAUACACUCACGAGCUCUCUACGAUGUCGUCCAUAGUGAUCGCAAGAGGAUGUGUUUUUGCUUAGGGAAACGACGGUAAUGGCGAGAAUGUACGAGAUCUCGAUGUUGCCGUCCGAGGGUUCCUCAUUCUCGGCGACCUGUGUUAAUAAGGGAAUGGGCACCCAUGGGUACUAACCACCACCACCUAACUGGUAUCAAUUUGGGCCAAUGGGUAACCCGUUGCUGUUGCUCAUCCCAACCUACUUUACAAGUGGUGCCACAACACAGGGACAAGUAUGAUUUGAUGGAAGUGCAAUUUCCAAAAUUCAGACGAAUGACAAAAAAACGCUGGUCUCUUUGCAUUGCAGGCUCUAAAAUAUAGCAAGGAAUCUGCAAUCUGGGUUUGAUUUACUUUUAAAGACCCUGACCUUUAUCCUAUUACAAAUUAUGUUAAACCUUCUAUAUGAUAGAAUUUUACCACUCAUCUUUAGGACUGUAGUACAAAAUCGACAAUGUUGGCUUUCGUGAUCUGCAGAGAUCCGUAUCUGUGCUCUUCUUCUUUUGUGUGUCUGUGUGAAUGCUCAAACAUCCAGUUUCAUAUGUGACGCAUAUCAAACCUUAGUUGAUUGCAUAAAAUGAAUUUAUAGUAAUAUAUUGUAUUCAUUUCCUAACAUGAUUUUGAUAAGUCAUGCAUGAUGGGAAGACUGUCUUUUGCAGCACAGGAUUAUUUCUUAGUUGUAGAACAGAGUAACUGCACCGUGAUGUGAAAAUAGACUGUUUUAAUUGUAUUUCCGUGUAUUGGCAGGUAUUCUUUUUGGUAGUAAAAUGUUGUUUAAAAUGAAGUUAUGAAUAUACAAAUGUAGUAAUAGAGUAUUUUAAAAUGUUUCUUCAGGAUGUUGUGUUCUGGUUUGCGAUCUUUAACAUUCAGUGGUUAUCACACACCAAAUGUUCUUCCUAUGGGUUGCAGCAGUUCUAUGUUCUUUUUUGUUAUUGACAUAACAAACUGUUCUUUCCAUCAUUCCCACUUGUUGCAUUUCAACGCUAAUUUUUUCUAUUCUAUGGUUUUUUUGAUAUCCUUUUAUAUUACUAGCUUUCGAGUUUGUCCACAUUUUAAAGACAUUAUUUGUUCCUGAAAUGCCAGCGCUGGAGUCUGUUACUGUUAGCCUUUUUAUUUUGUAGGUAAUUUUUGAGGAUUGAUGUUUCUUCUAGAGACAUGCAAUGAUGUUUUUUGUUCGUUCGUUCAGUAGUGUGACGCUUUCUUAUGUUUGUUUGUUGUGUCGUACACUUGCUCAUUCAGUAGUUAUGCUUCGGUUCAACUUAUUAUUUUGCACACUGACCAUCUGGUUUAUUUCCGUCAUAUUCCAAUUGUUAUUAUUUCUGA